UACAGAGGUCUCAAGCGUUGUUCGGAUUCAUUGGGCGUAAAGGGUGCGUAGGUGGCGCCGUAAGUCAGGUGUGAAAUUUCGGAGCUUAACUCCGAAACUGCAUUUGAUACUGCGGUGCUUUGAGGACUGGAGAGGAGACUGGAAUUCACGGUGUAGCAGUGAAAUGCGUAGAUAUCGUGAGGAAGACCAGUGGCGAAGGCGGGUCUCUGGACAGUUCCUGACACUGAGGCACGAAGGCCAGGGGAGCAAACGGG
rnacentral:rRNA from 1 species